UAGAACGGCUCAGAAACACGUAGACAACCUACCUUAAGGAAGGGCACAACCUCGGGAAACUGAGGACAAUUCCCUAUAGGAGAAAGGCGUUGGAACACCCUUUCUUUUAAACGGGUGCAGCCUUCGUUGCACUUGCCUUAAGAUGGGUCUGCGGCCGAUUAGGCUGUUGGCGGGGCAAAGGCCCACCAAACCCAAGAUCGGUACGGGCUAUGAAAGUAGCGGCCCGGAGAGGGGCACUGAGACACGGGCCCCAGCCCUACGGGGUGCAGCAGUCACGAGCUCUCUGCAAUUCCUGAAAGGGAGACAGGGGGACCCUAAGUGUACGUGCAAUACGUACUUUUGCCGAGUGCAAACAGCUCGGAGAAUAAGCGGGGGGCAAGACGAGUGCCAGCAGCCGCGGUAAUACUCGCUCCGCAAGUGGUGACCACGAUUAUUGGGCCUAAAGCGUUCGUAGCCGGUUCGAAAAGUCUUUGGUGAAAUCCUUACUGCUAACGUAAGGCCCGCUAAGGAUACUUUCGGACUAGGGACUAGGAAAAGGCAGAGGUAUUCCUGGGGUAGGGGUAAAAUCUUAUAAUCCUAGGAAGACCACCUGUGGCGAAAGCGUCUGCCUGGAAUAGGUCCGACGGUGAGGAACGAAAGCUGGGGGAGCAAACCGGAUUAGAUACCCGGGUAGUCCCAGCUGUAUACGCUGCCCACUAGGUGUUACAUCCCGUUCGUCGGGCUGUAGUGCCGAAGCGAAGGCAUUAAGUGGNCCGCCUGGGGAGUACGGUCGCGAGGCUGAAC
rnacentral:rRNA from 1 species